rnacentral:rRNA from 1 species
CCAGACUCCUACGGGAGGCAGCAGUGAGGAAUAUUGGUCAAUGGACGCAAGUCUGAACCAGCCAAGUAGCGUGCAGGAUGACGGCCCUCCGGGUUGUAAACUUCUUUUAGUUGGGAAUAAAAGGGGGCUCGUGAGCCCCGUAUUGUAUGUGCCAUCAGAAAAAGGACCGGCUAAUUCCGUGCCAGCAGCCGCGGUAAUACGGAAGGUCCGGGCGUUAUCCGGAUUUAUUGGGUUUAAAGGGAGCGUAGGCCGGCUUUUAAGUCAGCGGUGAAAGUCCGCGGCUCAACCGUGGAAUUGCAGUUGAAACUGGAGGCCUUGAGUGCACACAGGGAUGCCGGAAUUCAUGGUGUAGCGGUGAAAUGCUUAGAUAUCACGAAGAACUCCGAUUGCGAAGGCAGCUUACUAAACUGCCACUGACAUUGAUGCUCGAAAGUGUGGGUAUCAAACAGGAUUAGAUACCCGAGUAGA